UUAAAAGCUAUGAAGAGGAAGAGUAAAUAAUUUACUACUUUAAGAGAGAGAAACUCACCGGCUGUAAGGUUUCUUAGGUAAGUAUUAUUGAAAACCACCUCUGAGCUUAUUGUUGAACUAAAAGUAGACAAUUACGUGUGCUAGCGUUAAUGGCUUAGAGAGACAGAAGUAACACAAUAUACACUUCUGUAAUUUGGGUGGAACCGCGAAGAUACUCGUCCCUUAU
rnacentral:ncRNA from 1 species